GAGUGGCGAACGGGUGAGUAACACGUGGAUAACCUGCCUCAAGGCUGGGGAUAACAUUUGGAAACAGAUGCUAAUACCGCAUAAAACCUAACACCGCAUGGUGUAGGGUUGAAAGAUGGUUUCGGCUAUCACUUUAGGAUGGACCCGCGGUGCAUUAGUUAGUUGGUGAGGUAAAGGCUCACCAAGACCGUGAUGCAUAGCCGACCUGAGAGGGUAAUCGGCCACACUGGGACUGAGACACGGCCCAGACUCCUACGGGAGGCAGCAGUAGGGAAUCUUCCACAAUGGGCGCAAGCCUGAUGGAGCAACGCCGCGUGUGUGAUGAAGGCUUUCGGGUCGUAAAGCACUGUUGUAUGGGAAGAAAUGCUAAAAUAGGGAAUGAUUUUAGUUUGACGGUACCAUACCAGAAAGGGACGGCUAAAUAC
rnacentral:rRNA from 1 species